rnacentral:rRNA from 1 species
CCCUUAGAUGUUCUGGGCCGCACGCGUGCUACACUGAGUGGAUCAGCGGGUCAGGUUACGCGAGAGCGUUUCCUACUCUUCAAAUCCGCUCGUGAUGGGGAUUGACGGUUGCAAUUUUCCGUCAUGAACGAGGAAUACCUUGUAAGCGCGGGUCAUCAUCCCGCGCUGAAUACGUCCCUGCCCUUUGUACACACCGCCCGUCGCUCCUACCGAUUGAGUGGUCCGGUGAGGCUUUGGGAUCUAAGCGAAAAGAGCGUUUCGCUCCUUUUGCUGGGAGAACUCAGUCGAACCUUAUCAUUUAGAGGAAGGAGAAGUCGUAACA